UAAUACGGAGGGUGCAAGCGUUAUCCGGAUUCACUGGGUUUAAAGGGUGCGUAGGCGGAUUGGUAAGUCCGUGGUGAAAUCUCCGAGCUUAACUCGGAAACUGCCAUGGAUACUAUCAGUCUUGAAUAUCUUGGAGGUAAGCGGAAUAUGUCAUGUAGCGGUGAAAUGCUUAGAUAUGACAUAGAACACCAAUUGCGAAGGCAGCUUACUACACGAUGAUUGACGCUGAGGCACGAAAGCGUGGGGAUCAAACAGGAUUAGAUACCCUGGUAGUCCACGCCCUAAACGAUGAUCACUCGACAUCAGCGAUACACUGUUGGUGUCUGAGCAAAAGCAUUAAGUGAUCCACCUGGGAAGUACGAUCGCAAGAUUG
rnacentral:rRNA from 1 species